AUUGAACGCUGGCGGCAGGCUUAACACAUGCAAGUCGAGCGAGUGGCGGACGGGUGAGUAAUGUAUGGGGAUCUGCCUGAUAGAGGGGGAUAACUACUGGAAACGGUAGCUAAUACCGCAUACUAUAGGAUGAACCCAUAUGGGAUUAGUUAGUUGGUGGGGUAAAGGCUCACCAAGGCGACGAUCUCUAGCUGGUCUGAGAGGAUGAUCAGCCACACUGGGACUGAGACACGGCCCAGACUCCUACGGGAGGCAGCAGUGGGGAAUAUUGCGAAAUGGGGGCAAGCCUGAUGCAGCCAUGCCGCGUGUAUGAAGAAGGCCUUAGGGUUGUAAAGUACUUUCAGCGGGGAGGCGUUACCCGCAGAAGAAGCACCGGCUAACUCCGUGCCAGCAGCCGCGGUAAUUC
rnacentral:rRNA from 1 species